UACGGAGGGAGCUAGCGUUGUUCGGAAUUACUGGGCGUAAAGCGCACGUAGGCGGAUUUCUAAGUCAGGGGUGAAAUCCUGGAGCUCAACUCCAGAACUGCCUUUGAUACUGGGAAUCUUCGAGUCCGGGAGAGGUGAGUGGAACUGCGAGUGUAGAGGUGAAAUUCGUAGAUAUUCGCAAGAACACCAGUGGCGAAGGCGGCUCACUGGCCCGGUACUGACGCUGAGGUGCGAAAGCGUGGGGAGCAAACAGG
rnacentral:rRNA from 1 species